AUGGACGUCGAGUCCGAGGUCUCGGCGGACGCCGCCGCUGCGGCGACGAACGGGUUGGGUGGCGCGGGGGAGGCUGCCGCUGAGGACGCGGAGGCCGUUGUGGUGACGAACGGCCUGGCUGGCGGUGGGGAGGCCUCCGCCGAGCAGCGCAGCUUGGAGGCGUACGCCGCGCUGUACUCGGGUCGGACCCGCCUGGCGCGCCUCGUGUUCAUCGCGCAGAGAUGCGGGGUGGAGGCGAUCGAGCUCGCGGCGCUGCGGAUGGCGUACGACGAGGCCAAGGCGCGCGAGGACACGGCAUUCUACCGCGAGGCCGCCCUCAGGAUCAACGGCCGCCUCGGCCCUACCCACCUGCUCGACCAGGAUUGGGUCGACUCCGUCAAUCACCGCGCCGAGCAGCGCAAGGAGAAUCUCGAGACCGAACUCGAGGUCUANNNNACCUGCCUGCAUGGCGAGAGCAUCAGAAUAUGCUAUAAUGAUCUCGGUGACUUCUACUAUUCUCAUGGCCGCCUUACUGAAGCCUUCAAAAGCUAUAUCAAGACAGAAGAGUACUUCAGUGCUUCUGAGCAUGUAGUGCAGAUGUGUAUGAAGGCAAUACUGAUCAGCGUUGAAUUAGGUCACAAUGUUCGUGUUCUGAAUUUUGUAAGUAAAGCACAAGGAUGUCAAGAUCCACUGAGUCCUAUUGCCAUUGCUAAGCUGCAAGCAGUUGCAGGAUUAGCGCGUCUUGGUAGAAAGGAGUAUAAACUUGCCGCCCAAGAGUUUCUGGAGACAGGACCUGAACUAGGAAGCAACUAUUCUGAAGUCAUAGCGGCACAAGAUGUAGCUACAUAUGGAUCUCUUUGUGCACUUGCUUUCUUAAAUUACAGUGAUAUCAAGAUGAAAGUUAUUGAGAAUGCUAAAUUUGGAUCUUUUCUGAGCCUUUUCCCUGAAAUUAGGGGGUUGGUCAAUGAUUUUUACUACAGGCAGAGGGGGAUCCUCAUGUUAAUGGUACUGAGGCUGAGCUAA
rnacentral:rRNA from 1 species